rnacentral:misc_RNA from 1 species
AAGUCGUAACAAGGUUUUCCUUCCGUUAAAAGAUCCUGACUAUUUAGAUCUUAACCGCGAAGCCUUUCACACCGACUGUAAACACGUGUGGAGUCUUGCCUUCUCUAGGUUGAGACAAUACCGCUGAAAUGCUGUGAUCACGCAAGUGUACCAGCAGCCUAAUUCAUUAGGCCCACAGAUCAAGUGGCGGUGGUCGAUAGUUAAAAGCUAUAGACUAUAAUAUGACCGGUCCUAACCUAAACGGUUAAGAAAUAACGUUCCGUAGGUGAACCUGCGGAAGGAUCAUUAAUGAGUUAGGGU